UCUCCAAGAAGAUGUAAGGCUGGGGAACUUUCUCCUCCACAAAGGGUGGAUGCUGUUGCUUAUGAGUGCCUUCUCUGGCUGGGAUGCUAAAGAGAUUCAGCAUCCCCAGGACUUCCUCCCUGAGCGAUGGCUACGUCAUCGACCCUAUGGAAGCAUUCACCCUUGUGCCUCCAUACCUUUGUACUUUGGCUCCCGGAGUUGUAUUGGUCGACGGAUCGCAGAGCAAGAGAUCUAUAUCUUUCUGGCCAGGAUGUUUCAGCGUUACACUCUGGAGUGGAAAUAUGGGGAACUAGAGCGGACCCUCAAACAGCUGUUCUCACCAAAAGGUCCUCUAAAGUUUACCUUCAUGGACAGGUGAAACAUCAACAUCAAAUCUCCAACAUCAUUAU